rnacentral:lncRNA from 1 species
GGGACCCAGAAAUCUUCAUAUUCUCAUGGAUCUCAAUCCAUUUUUAGCCAUUGAUAAAUUUCAGAACUAGGGGAUUAAAAUGUAGAAAACAAGUUUAGGAAGCUCACCUAGGAAAGCAAAUAAUAUCAAUAAUAUCAAUAAUACAGUAAAUAAUAUAUUUUUCAACUAUCUGCCAAUAAUUAUCUUCCUGAAAUCUGGAAAUUUUUAAAAAUUUGGUUUUAUUUUUAAUUGUGUAUUUUUGGAGUUUAAUGUAAUGUUUUGAUACAUAUACAGUGGAAUGAUCAAAUGAGGUUAAUUAGCAUAUCUAUCAUUUCAAAUAUUUAUUAUUUCUUUGUGGUGAGAAAUCCUCUCUUUUUGAAAGGUACAUUAUACAGUUAUUAAUGUAAUAUUUUACAUGUUUUGUAAAACAUUUGAAAGGUACAUUACAUAUUAUUAACUACA